rnacentral:tRNA from 1 species
GCCCGGGUGGUGGAAUUGGCAGACACGCUAGGCUAAGGACCUAGUGCCCUUGAACGGGUGUGCGAGUUCAAGUCUCGCCCCGGGCACCA